UACGGGGGGUGCGAGCGUUGUCCGGAAUCACUGGGCGUAAAGGGCGCGUAGGUGGCCUGAUAAGGGUGUGGUGAAAGUCCGGGGCUCAACCCCGGAUCUGCCGUGCCGACUGUUGGGCUGGAGUACUGUAGGGGCAGGCGGAAUUCCGGGUGUAGCGGUGAAAUGCUUAGAUAUCGUCAAGAACACCGAUAGCGAAGGCAGCUUACUAGACUGUAACUGACGCUGAUGCACGAAAAGUGUGGGGAUCAAAAC
rnacentral:rRNA from 1 species